rnacentral:misc_RNA from 1 species
CGAGAUACAGGCGUGCACCCCGGAGAGGACAGGCUGAGGACCCUCAACAGAGACAGGAAAACCUGCCCGUCACUGAGAAAUGGUUGGAAAAAACAUGAGUAAAAGCCUCACUCUUAAGAAUCCUGGAAGAGUAGCAUACGAUUCAGGCGGGAUAAAGAUGUUUUGGGAGAAAAAAAUCGAGCAUCACGCAAGACACCUGCAGAACGAGGACAUCAGGGUUCGCAGAAGCGCUCUGAACAAGCUCCGCGUGGGAUGGGCUGAGCAGCUGGAGGGGAGGAACAAGAUGCUGCAGGGCCCAGGGAGAUGCCCAGACAGGGUCCCGGAGGCCACUGAGUCCCUCCACACCAAGGACAAGAAGGCGGCCUGAGGGCCCACGAGCUCCAGACUCUGCAUGAGCUUCCGGAGGGUCAUGGAGAAGGAACACCACGCGUGGGGUCCA